CAGGACACCUUAGAAAAAAUCAGAAGCAGUCAUUUUGACUCACUGAAAAACCAGUUAGAAGACAGAACUAGAGAUCUUGAACGUGCACUGGGAAGGAUAAAAAGCAACCAACAAGAAAGACCUUUUCAACAAGAAUCCAGACAGCCAGCAGUGGACAAGUACAUAAAGCAUUACCUGCAGGAAGUGAAAACCAGCAAAAGCCUCGCAAAGAAACUAGAAAGAACCAAUGAGAGACUUGAAGAGGCCAACCCGAAGCUCCUUUGGGAGCGCCAGAGAAGCAAAUCUGCAGCCACAAUCAGCGAUGUCAGCAGAGGUCUGGCUGCAGGUCCACCUCUGGAUUCAACUGGCCUGGGACACCUUGGGAACCGUCUGGGACUGGGCAGAACUCCCGGCCUCAGAACACACCCCAGCCACAUGUGGUAAAGCCAACGACUUUUGGUCAGCAGAGCAACUGUGGCAAAGAGCACUGUGAGGCAGGAACUUCCCACCUAAGUUCGACACUAAAUUUUCAUCUACGAUCUGUGUGACCUGUUUCAAAUGGCUGAUGUCACCAUGAGUGCCAAAUGCCAUCAGACAUCUGUGAGACACCGAGGAGGAGCCAGCCACGUCCCAAAGUCCAGCGCUGCCCCAGUGGUGGCAGGCCUGGCCCAGCCGUCCCAGGGAGCAGCACCCAGGCCAGGCCGGCACCGCCACAACCACAACCACUGCCUGUGCACUGCCUGCUCUUCCCUGGCAGGAGCCCUUGGUGCCAGUGGGGCAGGCAGGAGCUUUCCUGCUGCCCGCUCAGCCCCUUGGCCACGGAUCUCCUUCUGCCACGCCAGUUGCGGCCUGGAGUGACUGGCAACGACACUCCCUGUUUGAGAGGGUGCUCAGGGCUGUGCCAGGCUGUUCCUUGGCACCUGUGUCCCACGAGGGCAGGAGCAGCAGUGCCAGGCUGCCAGCGCCAGGCAGCUGCCUGCAGGUGACCGUGUGAGCCUCGGCAGCGUCCGGCUGAGAGCGCGGCACAGGGAGGCACCGCAGCCACGGCUGCAGGGACAGCACCUCGGGCAUUUGGCUGCCCCAAGCACACACUGCCAGCCUGGGCUCACCCAGUGAUUCCUGUCACCAGCCUGGGAUUGCCCUAAACACACCUUAGGGCUUGAGCUGGGUCACAGUUUCAUCGCAGUUGUGCCAAUAGAUAGUAGGGCACAGAUAGAUUAGACAGAUUAUAAGAUAGGUAGAUAGACAGAUAGAUAGAGAGAUAAAUAGACAGAUAGAUACAUAGAUAGAUAGGUAGAUAGAUAGAUAUUAAUAGAUUAUAAUUUUCCUCAAUAAAAGCUUCAAUUUCACUGAGAUUCCUGAGUGGUGUGCAUAUGAACAAAGGAUUCAAACACAAAAUGCUGAGAUGAAGUCCAGUUUUAAUUUUUGGAGGGCAUUUUGAUUGCCUCUCAGCAGGUGACACCUACUGCAAGUGUAAGAGCUGUCUUUCCUCUGGUCCUUAUAUCUGUUUAAGAUAUAAAAUAGAAUGG